GACGAACGCUGGCGGCGUGCUUAAUACAUGCAAGUCGAACGGACAGACCAUGAUUUUGUUGCUCUCUCGUUUGCGGCACGCGUGAGUAUAACAUGUGUAUCCUGUCCCUAUAUUACGGAUAUAUUCUGGAGACUGGGGCUCAUACCGGAUAUGAUCUCUUGCUGCACGUUGGGCGAUAGUGAGAUUCGGUGGUGGGGGAUCUACUAGAGGCUUCGCCGCUUGUUGGGUGGGUAGUGGAUUACCAGGGCUUUGAAUGGUAGCCGGCCUGAGAGGGUAGCCGGCCACAUUGGGACUGAGAGACGGCCCAGACUCCAACGGGAGGCAGCGGGGGGGAAUAUGACACAAUGGCCGGAAGCCUGAUGCAGCGACGCCGCGUGCGGGAUGACGGCCUUCGGGGUGUAAACCGCUGUCGCCUGUGACGAAGCGGGAGUGACGGUAACGGGUAAAGAAGCACCGGCUAACUACGUG
rnacentral:rRNA from 1 species